rnacentral:rRNA from 1 species
CUAACACAUGCAAGUCGAACGGUAACAGGAAGCAGCUUGCUGUUUCGCUGACGAGUGGCGGACGGGUGAGUAAUGUCUGGGAAACUGCCUGAUGGAGGGGGAUAACUACUGGAAACGGUAGCUAAUACCGCAUAACGUCGCAAGACCAAAGAGGGGGACCCUCGGGCCUCUUGCCAUCGGAUGUGCCCAGAUGGGAUUAGCUUGUUGGUGGGGUAACGGCUCACCAAGGCGACGAUCCCUAGCUGGUCUGAGAGGAUGACCAGCCACACUGGAACUGAGACACGGUCCAGACUCCUACGGGAGGCAGCAGUGGGGAAUAUUGCACAAUGGGCGCAAGCCUGAUGCAGCCAUGCCGCGUGUAUGAAGAAGGCCUUCGGGUUGUAAAGUACUUUCAGCGGGGAGGAAGGGAGUAAAGUUAAUACCUUUGCUCAUUGACGUUACCCGCAGAAGAAGCACCGGCUAACUCCGUGCCAGCAGCCGCGGUAAUACGGAGGGUGCAAGCGUUAAUCGGAAUUACUGGGCGUAAAGCGCACGCAGGCGGUUUGUUAAGUCAGAUGUGAAUCCCCGGGCUCAACCUGGGAACUGCAUCUGAUACUGGUAAGCUUGAGUCUCGUAGAGGGGGGUAGAAUUCCAGGUGUAGCGGUGAAAUGCGUAGAGA